rnacentral:rRNA from 1 species
UAGGGAAUAUUGGGCAAUGGCCGAGAGGCUGACCCAGCCAUGCCGCGUGCCGGAUGAAGGCCUUCUGGGUUGUAAACGGCUUUUCUCAGGGAAGAAAAAGGGGAUGCGUCCUCAACUGACGGUACCUGAGGAAUAAGCACCGGCUAACUCCGUGCCAGCAGCCGCGGUAAUACGGAGGGUGCGAGCGUUGUCCGGAUUUAUUGGGUUUAAAGGGUGCGUAGGCGGCCCGUUAAGUCCGGGGUGAAAGCCCACUGCUCAACAGUGGAACUGCCCUGGAUACUGGCGGGCUUGAGUCCAGACGAGGUUGGCGGAAUAGAUGCUGUAGCGGUGAAAUGCAUAGAUAGCAUCUAGAACCCCGAUUGCGUAGGCAGCUGACUAGGCUGGCACUGACGCUGAGGCACGAAAGCGUGGGGAGCGAACAGG